GAAGCUCAGUUGGUGCAGCAAGAGACACUCAAUCUCAGGGCUGUGGGUUCGAGCCCCACAUGGGGCA